rnacentral:rRNA from 1 species
ACGGUGGUAGCAAUACCAUAGUGGCGCACGGGUGCGUAACACGUAUGCAACCUACCUAUUAUUGGGGGAUAGCCUUUGGAAACGAAGAUUAAUACCGCAUAAUACGAUUGACUGGCAUCGGUUGAUUGUUAAAGCUUAGGCGAUAAUAGAUGGGCAUGCGUCCAAUUAGUUAGUUGGUUAGGUAACGGCUGACCAAGACGAUGAUUGGUAGGGGAUCUGAGAGGAUAAUCCCCCACACUGGCACUGAGAUACGGGCCAGACUCCUACGGGAGGCAGCAGUAGGGAAUAUUGGGCAAUGGGCGGAAGCCUGACCCAGCCAUGCCGCGUGCAGGAAGAAGGCGUUAUGCGUUGUAAACUGCUUUUUUAUAGGAAGAAGGAUCCCUUGCGAGGGAAGGUGACGGUACUAUAAGAAUAAGCACCGGCUAACUCCGUGCCAGCAGCCGCGGUAAUACGGAGGGUGCAAGCGUUGUCCGGAUUUAUUGGGUUUAAAGGGUGCGUAGGCGGUUUAUUAAGUCAGUGGUGAAAGACGGUCGCUCAACGAUUGCAGUGCCAUUGAUACUGGUAGACUUGAGUGAGAUUGAGGUAGCUGGAAUGGAUAGUGUAGCGGUGAAAUGCAUAGAUAUUAUCCAGAACACCGAUUGCGAAGGCAGGUUACUAAGUCUUAACUGACGCUGAGGCACGAAAGUGUGGGGAUCAAACAGGAUUAGAUACCCUGGUAGUCCACACUGU